GAUGAACGCUGGCGGCGUGCCUAAUACAUGCAAGUCGAGCGAACAGAUGAGGAGCUUGCUCCUCUGACGUUAGCGGCGGACGGGUGAGUAACACGUGGAUAACCCACCUAUAAGACUGGGAUAACUUCGGGAAACCGGCGCUAAUACCGGAUAAUAUAUUGAUCCGCAUGGUUCAAUAGUGAAAGACGGUUUUGCUGUCUCUUAUAGAUGGAUCCGCGCCGCAUUAGCUAGUUGGUAAGGUAACGGCUUACCAAGGCAACGAUGCGUAGCCGACCUGAGAGGGCGAUCCGACACACAGGAACAGCGACGCGCACCAGACUCCCAAGGAAGGCAGCGAUAGAGAAACAGGACCCAAAGGCGAGAGCGGGACGAAGCAACACGGCGAGGGUGAUGAAGGUCUUCGGGUCGUAAGACUCUGUUAUUGGGGAACAACAGAUGUGUAUGGAUCUACGCCCGUAUUGACGGUACCUGCUCAGAAAGCAACGGCUAACUACGUG
rnacentral:rRNA from 1 species